UUCCACGCCUCCUGCCCCGGGCCCGUCGGGGCUCCUCGGGGUGGGGGCGCUUAGGGGGGGCCGCGGCCAGCCCAGUGACCUUGAGCUCCCUCCUGCCUAAUUCCCAAAACUCAGUUUGUCCUCCACCGCGACGUGACACGGCAUGCGGAGGAGGAAGAAGUCAUUGUAGGCCAUGCACAGCGUGGUCAGGAACACCGAGUACUCCUUGAAGUCAAUCUCCUGAUCGCUGUUUUUGUCCAAGCUCUUCAUCAGGUCAUCGAUGCUACUCUCCUUCAUCUUCUUCGAGGGCCCAGGUAGAAAGACAGCUGUAUGGAGUGAGUGCCUGGCCUCCCAUCGUACUGUCUACCUCGUCCUCUGUCCUCACAGCCCAGCUCCACCAAGAGGAUGAGACAGGGCCCUCGGGUGGAACAGGAGGAAAAUACAGACACAUCCUGCCCUCUCCUCUUCAAUGCCCUCAACUCCAGCUUCUCCACAGGAGGCAGGACUUCAGGACAUACGGAGAUGGAAACAGCCUCUCUGCAACGUCAUCCUUGUCCCCAGUCUGGGCUCCCGUUAUAGCCAGGCCCUCCCCAGGGUCUCUGUCCCCCUGUAGUUAACCCUGCUGGACCCACGGUCCCUCUCUCUGCCCUCAUUAACUCCAGGAUGCAGAGAUUUUGGCUGGAAGGCCAGAGGGGAAGCCUGGUGACACCCACACCUGCUUCGGUCCCUUGCCCACAAGGACACACUCGUUGGAGCUUCUCUCUGGAGAGGCCCCCUGGAUUAAGGAUGUGACAGAAGAGCACCUCCCCACCACCACCACCACACCCAGGCUGAUUUUAAAGGAAAGAGGGAGGGUGACACAUGGGCCUGGUCUGGAACUCCAGCCUCUCACUAGCUGGGUGUCCUUGGACAAGUUACAGAAUGUAUCUGAGCCUCAACUGUUUUUUAA